GCUCCGAGUGCAACGCCCUGCCCUUCACCUGCGCGGCGGCGGGGCGGGGCUCACCUGAGGCGAGGCGCGGUAGGGGCCGUCCGACGUCCGCCAUUUUGGGGAGGAGCCGCCCGCCCGCCCGCCCUCACCUCAGCGCUGAGGCGGCCUGAUAUGGCGGAUUGCGCUGCGUUGUUUGGGGCUGAGGUUCGGGGUGCUUCCUCCUGAGGGCCGGUCGUAAAACAUCACGAAGAAAAUUCUGCAGACAAUCCUUUGUUAUGAAAGGAAAGUGAAGUCACUUCAGUGGACCUCGGAGCACCCAAAUCCCACAGAUUGCACUGAAAUUUAGCUAGCGCUGUUGCAAUUCACUUAAACCCUUUGGCUGUUCUUCUAGAGAAAAUCCUCGUUAAGUAAUUAAUGUACAUUACAUGGUGGGAGGACACGUGAGCAGAGUGUGAACAGAAAAGUGCUCCUAAUGUUCCCUGUGCACAGAUGCUUAAUUAUCAACAGACUGAUUUAAUGUAACAAAACCGGACUGAUUUUAAUCAAUAUACAUAUGGCAUGUUGGGAAGCCUGAGCCAACUGUUUCUGCAGCAUUCACAACUGAACUGCUUCCAUCGUUCCUGCAGAGCAAAGAGGCUCUCCCUCCUGUAGGUCUCUCCAUGUGCAAGAGAGGAAUUCAGAGGACUAGAGUGGGUCAGAAGAGUUUCCUGCUUGAGUUAGGUCAUCCACUUGGAAGCACCUAGAUCCCGCUCACAAUUUAAAGAAAUGUGGUUUGUGAGGGCAAGUUCUUGAAGAUCUUCCACAGCUGGAAACUUUGCUUUUGCUAGUCUUGCUGGCAGCUCUCAUGUCAGGCUCAGAUCUUCAGGGCUAUUUUCACGAGAUGAAAGAAAUCUUAAUUAAGUGUUCAUAUCUUUGUCAGCCAGACUCGGAAUGAGAACUGAUGCAUUUCCCAUGAGCUUUACCACUUGUUAUACCCUGCAGACAACAAAGAUACUGAGAAGAAUAAUGUGAAUGUAAUUUAACAUCAGAAAGCAGUUUUCCACAACUGGAUAGGUUGAUGUGCAACUGUUGAGUGGGGAAAAAAAAUCUCUCUCUACUUUCUCUCAUUUAAAAAAAAAAUAAAAGAGCAUUUAGAGAAUGAUUGCAGUGUUUCCUGUAAAAUGGAGAAGAGAGGAUAGUUUAAUAACUUCAGCGCUAUACCCUGCAAAAGACACCAGUUCCUCCAUGCCUCAGGCGGCCCAGAUGACCUCAGGGAAGACACUUCCUUCUCUUUGAGCAUUAAUUCUCUUCUUUUGCUAGUUCAGAGAAGAUUCGUGAGGCUAAAUGUAGUAAUAAUUCUGAAGGACUCAGCUCAGCUUGCAGUCAUGACAGCCAGAGCAAAAUAUCGAGAGAGAUAGAAUGAACUGUUCUUCCCAAAUAGCAAAAAGACCUUGGUGCUCUGGGACCAAAUUGUCCACUUCUUACAACAGUAAGAGUAGAAGGCCCUAGACAUACCAGCUAGUGAUAAGCAGCUGCAAAAGGAUUCCAGUCCCCUUACAAAGCACAGCACUUAACUCCUUCCAUCCAUACAUGCUGAGAGGGAAGGAGUUUUGAGAUCAUGGUGUUCCUCAUUACCCAGGCUGGUUAAGUGUUUCAAAAUCUACGUCUAGACAGAACAUUUUAAUUCUGUCUUGAGAGUGCAUGUCAAUGUUUUACUAAACAUAAAGUAUUAUUUUUGAAUAAUCAUAUUCAUAUAGUUCUGUUUGAAUAUAAUCACAGUCAAAAAUAACAUAAUAGCCAGCAGAAUAGCUAGGAUCAUGUAAAUAAGAUAGAUACCAGGUUGCAUUGUCCUUCCUGCUCCUCCAUGAUUCGUUUUCUUCCAAAAAAAAAAAAAAAAGAGUCCAGUGCCUGUAAGAUGCCAAAACAGUACAGCAUGAAGACUGUUUUAUGCAGAUUUUUGAGAUUCCAUUUUGUUCCAUUUUUUGUUCCAUUCUCAAUCUAUUCGUAGCUAAAAUAUGUGUAGAGUUAUACUGUAGCCAUUAUUUCUUGACUGCAUGCACUGAGUUAUUAUUAGGUUGCAUAUGAAAAAUGAGGUGCUGUUCUCCUUCAGCAUUUUCUGUGCAUGUUUGAAUAAGGGAAAACCUGCACACUAUAGUCUGAUAAUCUUACGUAGCCUCCAUGGGCAUGGUUCAUACCGCUUUGUAACGAAAACACUGUGCUGUUUGGAGUUGAGGAAAUUGAAGAACAGUGAGAUGAAGUGAUGUCACCAAUACCACAAAGGCUGGUGAAAGUGAUAGGAUCAAUUCUCCUGUCCUGUGGAUGUGAAAAUACCUGGGCUGAGAGCACAGAUUGGCUUUUUGCUUCCACAA